GCAGGCCGCGCUAUCGUGGUUCCGGCCUUGCCGGAGCCAAGGAAAGUCCGGACAGCACAGAGCAGCGCACCACCUAACGGGUGGGUCUUCCGGAAACACCGGAAGAACAGAGAGUGCCACAGAAAAUAACCGCCCCUCCAGUCUCAAUGCGGCUGGCGGAGCAAGGGUGAAAACGGGAGGUAAGAGCUCCCGGGGUCAGCCUGCAAAGGCUGGCUCGGGCAAACCUUGCGCGCUGAAAUGCCAAAUAGGCCCUGCUAUCUGUUCCUCAGGAACAGUCAUGGGCUGCUCGU
rnacentral:misc_RNA from 1 species